rnacentral:rRNA from 1 species
UAGGGAAUCUUCGGCAAUGGACGAAAGUCUGACCGAGCAACGCCGCGUGUGUGAAGAAGGUGUUCGGAUCGUAAAACACUGUUGUUAGAGAAGAACAAGGACGUUAGUAACUGAACGUCCCCUGACGGUAUCUAACCAGAAAGCCACGGCUAACUACGUGCCAGCAGCCGCGGUAAUACGUAGGUGGCAAGCGUUGUCCGGACUUAUUGGGCGUAAAGCGAGCGCAGGCGGUUUCUUAAGUCUGAUGUGAAAGCCCCCGGCUCAACCGGGGAGGGUCUUUGGACACUGGGAGACUUGAGUGCAGAAGAGGAGAGUGGAAGUCCAUGUGUAGCGGUGAAAUGCGUAGAUAUAUGGAGGAACACCAGUGGCGAAGGCGGCUCUCUGGUCUGUAACUGACGCUGAGGCUCGAAGGCGUGGGGAGCAAACAGG